UUACUUCCCUCUUCAAAAGACUAAGCUUGACUUGAAGGUAGAGUUAAGAAACAUUAGAAAUUGAGAUUUGAGAGUUAACAGGUUUAGACUUCAGAGAGUUCAAUCUCAAGUUCACUUUAAGAAUUAAGUGGAAUUAAGAUUGAAGCAUGUUCAUGUCCACGUUCUUCCGAGGAAGGCUGGAGACUUCCACAGGAAUGACAGCAUCUAUGAUGAGCUCCAGAGACAUGACAAAGCGGAGGAGGACACCCCAGCCUUGUGGAGGUCCGAGGAGGAAAUGGCAGCAGAAGCCGCAACCCUACGGGCCUACUUUCAGUGACUGUGCAGUCACUUCCAGGCACGAAAGUAACUUGAACAAAUCCCAAGGCAUAAGGAAAUGGGCCUCGUUCUCUAGGACUCCGCGGCAUUGGAAAUGAAGCUAAGCAGACUUUAUUACAUCCUACAAUUCUGCAACCUUUUGCGAAGCAUUUUAUUACACUUGUGGAAGCCAUCGGGGUUAUGUUUCAAUCAUGAUGACUGACAGGCUAACUUCAAAAUAACAGCAUCGACAGCCCUUCCACACUUCCUGGGCUAUGUACUUAGAAUAGAACCUUGUCUAAAUUGUCCCUUGGCCUGGAUGAAAAUAAAAUGGUAGUUAAAAUAUUUAUCUUGUGUGUU
rnacentral:lncRNA from 1 species